rnacentral:rRNA from 1 species
UACGUAGGUGGCGAGCGUUGUCCGGAAUUAUUGGGCGUAAAGGGUGCGUAGGCGGUCUAUUAAGUCUGAUUUGAAAGGUCAUGGCUUAACCAUGGAAUUGGAUUGGAAACUGGUAGACUUGAGUGCAGAAGAGGAAGGUGGAAUUCCAUGUGUAGCGGUGAAAUGCGUAGAGAUAUGGAGGAACACCAGUGGCGAAGGCGGCCUUCUGGUCUGCAACUGACGCUGAUGCACGAAAGCGUGGGUAGCAAAC